rnacentral:rRNA from 1 species
GGGUUGUGAGGUUAAGCGACUAAGCGUACACGGUGGAUGCCCUGGCAGUCAGAGGCGAUGAAGGGCGUGCUAAUCUGCGAUAAGCGCCGGUAAGGUGAUAUGAACCGUUAUAACCGGCGAUACCCGAAUGGGGAAACCCAGUGUGAUUCGUCACACUAUCAUUAACUGAAUCCAUAGGUUAAUGAGGCGAACCGGGGGAACUGAAACAUCUAAGUACCCCGAGGAAAAGAAAUCAACCGAGAUUCCCCCAGUAGCGGCGAGCGAACGGGGAGGAGCCCAGAGCCUGAAUCAGCAUGUGUGUUAGUGGAAGCGUCUGGAAAGGCGCGCGAUACAGGGUGAGAGCCCCGUACACAAAAGCGUAUGUGCUGUGAGCUCGAUGAGUAGGGCGGGACACGUGGUAUCCUGUCUGAAUAUGGGGGGACCAUCCUCCAAGGCUAAAUACUCCUGACUGACCGAUAGUGAACCAGUACCGUGAGGGAAAGGCGAAAAGAACCCCGGCGAGGGGAGUGAAAAAGAACCUGAAACCGUGUACGUACAAGCAGUGGGAGCACCCUUUGGGGUGUGACUGCGUACCUUUUGUAUAAUGGGUCAGCGACUUAUAUUCUGUAGCAAGGUUAACCGAAUAGGGGAGCCGGAGGGAAACCGAGUCUUAAUUGGGCGUUAAGUUGCAGGGUAUAGACCCGAAACCCGGUGAUCUAGCCAUGGGCAGGUUGAAGGUUGGGUAACACUAACUGGAGGACCGAACCGACUAAUGUUGAAAAAUUAGCGGAUGACCUGUGGCUGGGGGUGAAAGGCCAAUCAAACCGGGAGAUAGCUGGUUCUCCCCGAAAGCUAUUUAGGUAGCGCCUCGUGAAUUCAUCUCCGGGGGUAGAGCACUGUUUCGGCUAGGGGGUCAUCCCGACUUACCAACCCGAUGCAAACUGCGAAUACCGGAGAAUGUUAUCACGGGAGACACACGGCGGGUGCUAACGUCCGUCGUGAAGAGGGAAACAACCCAGACCGCCAGCUAAGGUCCCAAAGUCAUGGUUAAGUGGGAAACGAUGUGGGAAGGCCCAGACAGCCAGGAUGUUGGCUUAGAAGCAGCCAUCAUUUAAAGAAAGCGUAAUAGCUCACUGGUCGAGUCGGCCUGCGCGGAAGAUGUAACGGGGCUAAACCAUGCACCGAAGCUGCGGCAGCGACGCUGAUGCGUUGUUGGGUAGGGGAGCGUUCUGUAAGCCUGUGAAGGUGGCCUGUGAGGGUUGCUGGAGGUAUCAGAAGUGCGAAUGCUGACAUAAGUAACGAUAAAGCGGGUGAAAAGCCCGCUCGCCGGAAGACCAAGGGUUCCUGUCCAACGUUAAUCGGGGCAGGGUGAGUCGACCCCUAAGGCGAGGCCGAAAGGCGUAGUCGAUGGGAAACGGGUUAAUAUUCCCGUACUUGGUGUUACUGCGAAGGGGGGACGGAGAAGGCUAUGUUGGCCGGGCGACGGUUGUCCCGGUUUAAGCGUGUAGGUGUGUGUUCCAGGUAAAUCCGGUUCACUUUAACACUGAGGCGUGACGACGAGGCACUACGGUGCUGAAGCAACAAAUGCCCUGCUUCCAGGAAAAGCCUCUAAGCAUCAGGUAACAUCAAAUCGUACCCCAAACCGACACAGGUGGUCAGGUAGAGAAUACCAAGGCGCUUGAGAGAACUCGGGUGAAGGAACUAGGCAAAAUGGUGCCGUAACUUCGGGAGAAGGCACGCUGAUAUGUAGGUGAAGCGGUUUACCCGUGGAGCUGAAAUCAGUCGAAGAUACCAGCUGGCUGCAACUGUUUAUUAAAAACACAGCACUGUGCAAACACGAAAGUGGACGUAUACGGUGUGACGCCUGCCCGGUGCCGGAAGGUUAAUUGAUGGGGUCAGCGCAAGCGAAGCUCCUGAUCGAAGCCCCGGUAAACGGCGGCCGUAACUAUAACGGUCCUAAGGUAGCGAAAUUCCUUGUCGGGUAAGUUCCGACCUGCACGAAUGGCGUAAUGAUGGCCAGGCUGUCUCCACCCGAGACUCAGUGAAAUUGAACUCGCUGUGAAGAUGCAGUGUACCCGCGGCAAGACGGAAAGACCCCGUGAACCUUUACUAUAGCUUGACACUGAACAUUGAGCCUUGAUGUGUAGGAUAGGUGGGAGGCUUUGAAGCGUGGACGCCAGUCUGCGUGGAGCC